CCUAAAAACCGGACCGUGAUGGACUACGUGGAACUAGAGAGAAAAAAGGAACUCCUUUCAGUUGAAACUUGUAUAUACCAAGGUCAUUGUCCUUAAAAAUAACUAGUGCAGUGUGAACUUGAUGUCUAGCACCCUGCAUUGAAAUUAACCACAUUGUCUGAUCCGUUUGAGGUCUGAGUUAUGUUUUGGCUGAAAUAGUGCGGUACGGCUGAAAACAUCUUUCUGCUUUGAUGUAUUUUUGUGGUCUUUUUGUGGUUAGAGGCCUUGGAUGUCAGAGUGAGAGAGUUUAACCAAGAAAAUAUGUCUGAAAGGAAUUUCACCUGACUUGGGUAUAACUGGAUAUCAGUUCUCAGAUGAACAGAAAUAAACCAUGAAGCAACAAAAGCAACUAGAGAAAAACAGAGCUUUCCUCACCAGUGAGACAAGAUAUCCACAUGGCCUGUUCCAGCAUGCAGUCUUAGUUAUAAGCCUCCAUGAGGUUUAUUCUUCUGACUACAUCUUUUUUGAGAAGUUGAAGUGUUAAAUACUAAAUGCUUGAUUUGCUAAAGGAUUUGGAGCAUUGUGCCAAAGCUUUACUGGAACUUUACUUAAGCUUUUACUGGAAAUGUUAGAAGUGUCAGAAGUAACAGAGCUAAGAAACUCCAACGUGCUAUGAAAAUAAAGUUUUAUUUGUAGAUGA